rnacentral:rRNA from 1 species
CCUUCGGGUUAGUGGCGGACGGGUGAGUAACGCGUGAGAAUCUGCCCUCAGGAGGGGGAUAACAGCUGGAAACGGCUGCUAAUACCCCAUAUGCCGCGAGGUGAAAUGAAUUUCGCCUGAGGAUGAGCUCGCGUCUGAUUAGCUAGUUGGUGUGGGUAAUGGCUCACCAAGGCAUCGAUCAGUAGCUGGUCUGAGAGGAUGAUCAGCCACACUGGGACUGAGACACGGCCCAGACUCCUACGGGAGGCAGCAGUGGGGAAUUUUCCGCAAUGGGCGAAAGCCUGACGGAGCAACGCCGCGUGAGGGAUGAAGGCCUCUGGGCUGUAAACCUCUUUUAUCAAGGAAGAAGAUCUGACGGUACUUGAUGAAUAAGCCACGGCUAAUUCCGUGCCAGCAGCCGCGGUAAUACGGGAGUGGCAAGCGUUAUCCGGAAUUAUUGGGCGUAAAGCGUCCGCAGGCGGCCCUUCAAGUCUGCUGUUAAAAAGUGGAGCUUAACUC